AAACAACACAUGUUUUUAAUAAUGGUGUUCUCAAAAGGAUAACUUUGCAGUUUCGAGCAGGUACAAUAUGGAGAAAAUUACAAAGAUGAUGUUGUUAUGGAAUACUAAUCAAUGAUUCAACAAUCGACUACUUACAAGUACCUGUCAAUACCGAACUUUUCAUCAUGCUUUCGACGUGGCAUACAAGUUGGCGUCACACAAGUUAUUUACUCACUGACUCUAUUGUGCUCCUAUGAGCGUUGUUGGAAUGAAACGAAGAACACCAAUACAGACGGAGCCCCCCUAGUGUACAAUCAGAGGUUGUUGCUUUAUAGUAGUGGUGGUGCUCGAGCAGGGACGAAUCAGGGGUCGUUUGAUAAGGGACAAUGGCGCAUUACAGGGUCAGCUAAACUUUACCAGAGUUUCACGUAAAAGUGAAAAGUUGAUUAUUUCAAGAAGAAAAGUUAGUUGUAUUACCUGAAAUCCUAAUUUAGAGGGCAACAAACAGCGGUUUUCUAAACCAUGCAUAUUUACGGGUGAAA